UACGUAGGGACCAAGCGUUGUUCGGAUUUACUGGGCGUAAAGGGCGCGUAGGCGGCGCGGUAAGUCACUUGUGAAAUCUCUGAGCUUAACUCAGAACGGCCAAGUGAUACUGCAGUGCUAGAGUGUGGAAGGGGCAAUCGGAAUUCUUGGUGUAGCGGUGAAAUGCGUAGAUAUCAAGAGGAACACCUGAGGUGAAGACGGGUUGCUGGGCCAACACGUGACGCUGAGGCGCGAAAGCCA
rnacentral:rRNA from 1 species